GACACAAUUUAUCUCAAACUCUUCAACUUCUUGCUCUUUGGUUCUAGAAUUUCUUUUUCAGUUCUGACCUCCCCACAUGUGUCUGAUGUUGGAAUUCUCAUCGCUGGCCUCUGCUUUCAUUUACAUCUAGUGAGAACUAGACCAGGUUUUCAGCUUUCUGCUUUCAUCAUUCGUUUUGUUCAUUAGGUCCUUUUCCUUUCUUUGGAACCAAAAUGGUCCAGGAUGCUCACCAAGGCUUCUCCCCCUUGUUAUCUCUAGUAGUCACCCUUUAAGAUGAGGCUGCCAUCUAAGGGAUUCCCACAGUUCUCUCUGGCUCUUGUAACCAAGUCAGGGACUCAGGGACUCAGGGACUCCAAAAUCUGUCUCCUAGCUUCUUAUGGGGCAGACAUUCUUAUUUCUUCCCUCAGAUCCACAAGGGUAUACCAAUUGGAAGCCAUGCUGGUAUUAUAUGAACCACCCUUCCUGAUCUUAAGUCUGGAAUCAUUUCUUCAUAAUGACAUUUUCUCCUUUUAUUGGAGAAUGUUAGAAACCACGAUCAAGAGCUUGAUGUGCUUGUUGAUACUGGAGUGUCAUUGAUUCUUGGCCCUGUCAACUGACCAGAUCAAGGAACUACAUGUGUAUAAGCUAAGUUGUUCUUUGAUGAAGAGAAGAAAAUGUUCAAAGACUCUAUCUGGACAGCAGAGCAGUGCACAGCUGUGAUGUUUCUUUUUUCUCUGCCUUGACCUUACUCUGAAGAAAGUACUCCUUUAGGCUCAAACUCCUGAAAUUGACUGAAGUAUCUCUUAGGGAAUGCUUUGGUCAUAACAGAUUUUUUAAAAAACUUAUUUAAAUUCCAUUCCAGGUGCAGCCUCCCUUUACUUUAUAGGUUAAAGCGCAAAAUAUCACUGGGAAAGGGAAAAGGAUCAUGAAUAUUUAAAGUUUAUCAUAAAUGAGAAGUCUGUGAACAAAGCCUGCCCAUGAGGCUGAGUUUUGUCUUACAUCAUCUCUUGAAAUCCCUCUGAAAAAAGAGUAUGCACUAGACAAUUGCACCAACAUAGGGAAAGCAAAGGCAUGUCUCACUAUCACCCUGAGAAAUGCCAACACCUAUGGUCUUGAUCAUUUUUAGACAUUUUUCCUUUAAGUCACAUAGGCCUUAUGGCUCACACAACAGAGAAAUUAUUCUUAAGUCAAUUAUAAUUGAUUGUUGUUGUCAUCUUUUUAAAGGAAUUUUGAAAUUAAGAAAAUAUAUGAGAAAAAUAUUUGUUAGAUGAAGAGAAGAAAAAGCAACUAUCUGGCAUAAAAUGACUGACUUCCAAGGUUAAUAUUUCACUGGAAAAAACACCAGUAAUCUUUGAAUGAAUGAUGUGUAUAAUAACAGUAUUAAAUAUUCACUUACCUAUUGAACAAACAUUAAAAUGUGCUAUAUACAAGACACUGCAAAAUGCCAAGUGAAUUUACAAAUUUGGCCCAAAUUUGCUAUAGACACAAUGCCAACCACCAAUCAGAAUAUAAACCAUAAAACAAUGCUAUUUGAUGAAAUUAUAUAAACCCUAUCCUAUAGCUUUAAAUGUAAACAAAACAACUCCCUCCAUUUUCAAGUAUGUCUUAAACCUCCAUUGCUUUUACCUGCUACAUAACACACCAAAUCAUGGCGUACACUGGUGCAUAAAUGAUAUGUAGUCCAUAACCUUUACCAUCAUUGAAAAAAUAGUGUCCCUCCACUAAUUAAUUCAUUUAUUAUCAAACAUUGCGAUUCUACUAUAUGCAAGGACGAUCUAUGUAAUACACACUAACUUCAAUGUAUUCCAUAUUGUUGGGUUAUUGAGUCUGAGGGAUUAGCAGAUUUAUUUGUAAAGGACUAGGCAGUAAAUAUUUUAGACAUUGGGGGCCACAUAUAUAUCUCUUGCUGCUGCUUUUUAAAAUUUAUAUUAUUUUUAACUGCCAAACCAUAAUAUAUUACAUUUAUGGAGUACAAUGUGAUAUUUUGGUAUGUAUAUGUAAUGUGGAAUGAUUAAAUCAAGCUAAUUAAUA